rnacentral:rRNA from 1 species
CAAGGAAUUUUCCCCAAUGGGCGCAAGCCUGAGGGAGCAACGCCGCGUGCAGGACGACGGCUUUCGGGUUGUAAACUGCUUUUGCGUGGGACGAUAACGACGGUACCACGCGAAUAAGCCCCGGCUAACUCCGUGCCAGCAGCCGCGGUAAGACGGAGGAUGCAAGCGUUAUCCGGAAUUAUUGGGCGUAAAGCGUCCGUAGGCGGUUAAUCAAGUCAGUUGUUAAAGACUGCAGCUCAACUGUGGGCGAGCAACUGAAACUGAGUAACUAGAGUGCGGUAGGGGUAGAGGGAAUUCCCAGUGUAGCGGUGAAAUGCGUAGAUAUUGGGAAGAACACCAGUGGCGAAGGCGCUCUACUGGGCCGCAACUGACGCUGAGGGACGAAAGCUAGGGGAGCGAAAGGGAUUAGAUACCCCCGUAGUCC